rnacentral:rRNA from 1 species
CCCUUGCUCCCAACGCUAAACGCGAAGAACCUUACCAGGUCUUGACAUCCUCUGACCACUCUAGAGAUAGAGCUUCCCUUCGGGGGACAGAGUGACAGGUGGUGCAUGGUUGUCGUCAGCUCGUGUCGUGAGAUGUUGGGUUAAGUCCCGCAACGAGCGCAACCCUUGACCUUAGUUGCCAGCAUUCAGUUGGGCACUCUAAGGUGACUGCCGGUGACAAACCGGAGGAAGGUGGGGAUGACGUCAAAUCAUCAUGCCCCUUAUGACCUGGGCUACACACGUGCUACAAUGGGUGGUACAAAGGGUUGCAAAGCCGCGAGGCCGAGCCAAUCCCAAAAAGCCACUCUCAGUUCGGAUUGUAGGCUGCAACUCGCCUACAUGAAGCCGGAAUUGCUAGUAAUCGCGGAUCAGCAUGCCGCGGUGAAUACGUUCCCGG